ACUGCCAGAUACUGCAUUUUCGCAGCUGGGAAAUUGAACCGGAUGAGAAUUCUCUGGUUCAUUGAACAUAAUUCUAUGAAGCUGCAAUAGCAUUUUUUUUUAUUGCAUUUUGAAACUGGUUUUCACUCCCCAUCACUGCUGGAAGACUAUUUCAGUACUUCAUUUCCGUGAUUAGAAACUUCUUUUUAACUUUAUUUUUUUUUACCAAAUGCAGCCUGUUAUCCAGCACCGGGAUUGAUUCUGACAAAGAUUAACUGAAACAGCUAUUUAGAAGCAUGGCACAGAGUUAACUGUUGGUGAAUCUGACCCAUUCUUCUGGCCUUUCUGUACCCUUCUGCCCACCAGCAGCAGUAGACAGGCAUAAUUCAGAAGUGAGACAUGACUGGUAUGGGAUCCAUGGUGCUCAUUUCCAUGGUAAGAAGAGGAGGGGCAUUUUUUGACCAGUCCUGCUAAUUAGAGAAUAAUCCAUAAGGAUUACCAGAGGAAAAGCUCUCUUAGAGCCAUUUUUCAUCCCACCUGUGAUCUCAGAAGUCUUACAGAGCUGAAAAAAGUACUGUUUAAUGUUUAUUUGUGUUGUGGGGCAUUGGGACCUUGAACCGGUCUUCACUGAGCAGUAGGCUGUGCAAAUAAGGCAUGAAAAGAGGAUCCUGAGCUUUCAGUCGUGGUGAAAUCAGGACUUUGCCAAUAGUGGAGUCACAAAACAUGUUUUACUAUACUCUGGUGCCUCCAGGCUGGGGUUCCCUGUGGAUUCCCUCCUGUGCAACAUGGGUGAGUGAAGCCUGGUCUUUAUUCUUUCCUUUUGUAAAGACACUACUAUCACUCUCUGCAACCCAGGAACUUACUUUCUGAAAAAUUUGUGCAUUGCAAAUGUGGCUGCCUGGAACCAUCCAUUGGGUUCAGAAGCUGCGGCUGAGAAGGAUGGAUGAGCGCAUGCAUGUGGCUGGGCACUCAGCAGCCUCAUUCCCUUCGGAGAACUGUCUGCAACAAGAACGCUUCUGAAGAGGAGAUCUGACUUGAAAACAAAUGAGUGUGUCUUGUCUUUUGAAAGGUUUUUCCUUUUGAAAAUGCAGAAAAUGCAGUAUGCAUCCAUUGCCUGGCGAUACGGGUGCAAAGUAGUGCGAGAGGAAUAAAUGGAGCUGUUACUGUGCAAGUUCAGCACAUCUUCUGUGUAGGGACGUCAGCAAGAGGAUGCCCAUGGGUGCAGCUCCCCUGCUGCUGGGAGCAGCCGACGCGCUACUGCAGAGCAAGCUGCUGUGCCAUCGCCUAAGUCAGGUCUGUCCCGAAUGGGGCCAGAUAGCACUGCGCUUCAAACCCCAAAGGAGCCCUAAGUGUGCUAGAAUUCAUACUUUGCCGCACUGUUGUUAGCAACAGAAAGUUUUUGCUGGAAAACAAUAAAAUCAACAUAGGCACCGUCUAGGAGAGUUGUAUGCCUUCUGUUUCUGCAGAUGAUGUAAGUUCUCUUUAACGGCUAGGCGUACAAUACCAAACAUUUAGAGAGGUGCUUAACGUUAAAAAUAAAUAUGCAUCAGUGCACAAUCCAUACAAGAGAAUUAGUUAGCUGACAUUUAUUGUAUAUAUGCGAUUAUAUGAUUUAUUUGUUGCGUAAAUCUUUUGAAUGUGCAUUCAGGUGCAUGCCUGUAACGAAGCUCAGUGUUUAGAAAGCUUGGCCUCCUGUCUGUCUCUCUCCCUCUCUGGGGAAUGCAGAGGUAUCUCUGGAGCAGCCAGGCUGUUAUGAAGCAUUGGGAUAAUUGCUUUUGAAGCUCAUGCUUGGAAAGCAUUUCUUCCUUGAUGUGGAGUUUAAUUUGCUUUUAGGGAUGCAAAGAUGCAAAAAAUGUUUUUCAUUAAAUUAAGAAAAAUGAAGGUGUUUCUGUAGCAGGCUAAUUAGAUAGCUAUCUAAAAUAAAUGUUUUUUUUAACGCCUGAUUUCUUCUUUAAAUAUAUAAAUACCAGCCAGUGUUUUAAAGCUCCUGUAGCUGUGAAUAGCUCUGCUGUCCCUCACUGCAAGCUACGUUUUUAUUACUUCUCCCCAAGAAAUUUAUUUUGCUGACAUGGGCCUUAAUCCAGUAAAGUGUUAAAACACAUGCUUAAUUUUAAGCAUGCGAGGAAAGCCAAGAGAACUGUUCCUAUGCCUAAAUUUAAGCACAACUUUGUCUUUGGCCUAGCUGGGGCUAUAGUUUCUGGGUUAGGUUCUUGAGGAUUGUGUGCUUAGAAUGGGUGACCUCCUGAUGGAAAAACAGACUGUCAUGACUUUUUAAGGUAUUUUGCUAUUUAUCAGAGGAUCUUGCGAAGAAAAAUGAACCAACAAGGAAAUGCUGAAAAUUUUUGGACUUCAAUGCAUUCUUUUAAAUAUAUGAGCUGCGAGGAAGUAAAAAAGCUGGUGCUAUCUUGAAGAAAGGAAGGGAGCAACCUGGAAAACCAGGGGAGUCUCAACAGCGAUAGUGCAGCUGUUCGUGUGCUGUGCAUCAACAAGGAAAAUGUCAGGGCACAACAGCCUUUUCCAACUGCUCAUGUGUGCAACCCAAGCAUCCAGAGUUCAAAAUAAUCUUUGAAUAACUUCAGCUGAAACCCAUUUCUUUACCAAAACAUUUUCUCCUACUUGAGUGAUUAUACCUGUUUGUUAUUUUAGGGUUGUUCAUAAAUUCUGAGCUCCUAGAACUGUUUCUGAUUAAAGAAUAAAGUGUUUUGGGUU